rnacentral:lncRNA from 1 species
UAGUGUCUCCAAUGCUUAUCCAAACUAUUAGACUGAUUAUCAUCCACCUUAAUGGAAGGCUAUGAUCUAGUUAUCUCUAUAACUAUCUCAUUUUAAGGACCUAAUAAUUUAGAAGGUUUGUAAUAUAUGAACUUUAAUUUAUUACGUAAGAUCCUCCCACUGACUUCUCCAAGUCAUUUAAGAAGACAAAUGCAUUAAGGUAACACCUUAAUUAGUCAACCCAUCUACAUGACUGACUAACCUAGAUAGCAUGGGUGAACUCAAAUCACUAAGCGACCCAAUCAAAAUUAGAUUGACCACAUUGGCCAGGCAAGCGA